UCCGAAUUGGUGUAGUGGCUAACAUUUGACGCUCUCAAAUUUGAGUAAUCAAAAAGGACCGUCAAGCCCGGGGUUCGAUUCCCCGAUUCGGAG